rnacentral:ncRNA from 2 species
AUCAGAUCAGGAGAUGGCAUUCCUCCUUUAACGGCCUUCGUGCUGAUGAUGCCUACGUGAAC